UAAUACCGCAUAACGUCACAAGACCAAAGAGGGGGACCUUCGGGCCUCUUGCCAUCGGAUGUGCCCANAUGGGAUUAGCUAGUAGGUGGGGUAACGGCUCACCUAGGCGACGAUCCCUAGCUGGUCUGAGAGGAUGACCAGCCACACUGGAACUGAGACACGGUCCAGACUCCUACGGGAGGCAGCAGUGGGGAAUAUUGCACAAUGGGCGCAAGCCUGAUGCAGCCAUGCCGCGUGUAUGAAGAAGGCCUUCGGGUUGUAAAAGGUACUUUCAGCGG
rnacentral:rRNA from 1 species